GGAUAAAAUAAUCGUGUCAUUUUUCGGAGGUACUAUUAAGUACAUUACAAUUUAUGUGUAUAAUACUUGAUUCCUAGAAAUGCUUUUCAAUUUAAGAUUAUCAAAAUAUCUUUAACCGAACCUAAUCCAAAAUUUUAUUUCGUUAGCCAUAAUUUAUCAUUGCGUACAGUUAUAAACAAACAAAUUUACCACAUUAUAUAUCAUACUUUUUAAACUACUCAUCUGCAUCAAUGGUAGGUACACCAAUACUUGUAAGAAAUAAUGCCUCUUAUUUUGUAUACCU